AAGUCGAACGAAGGCCCGGAGCUUGCUCCGGUCACCUUAGUGGCGGACGGGUGAGUAACGCGUGGGGACCUUCCCAGGAGCGGGGAAUAACCGAGGGAAACUUCGGCUAAUACCGCAUACGCCCUCCGGGGGAAAGGCUUCGGCCACUCUUGGAUGGCCCCGCGUCUGAUUAGCUAGUUGGCGGGGUAAAGGCCCACCAAGGCGACGAUCAGUAGCUGGUCUGAGAGGAUGAUCAGCCACACUGGGACUGAGACACGGCCCAGACUCCUACGGGAGGCAGCAGUGGGGAAUAUUGGACAAUGGGCGAAAGCCUGAUCCAGCGACGCCGCGUGUGUGAAGAAGGCCUGCGGGUUGUAAAGCACUUUCGAUGGGAACGAAAUGUGCCGGGCUAACACCCCGGCAAGCUGACGUUACUCAAUGAAGAAGCACCGGCUAACUCUGUGCCAGCAGCCGCGGUAAUACAGAGGGUGCGAGCGUUAAUCGGAAUUACUGGGCGUAAAGCGCACGUAGGUGGCGACGUAAGUCGGGUGUGAAAGCCCCGGGCUCAACCUGGGAAUUGCAUUCGAGACUGCGUUGCUGGAGUACGGAA
rnacentral:rRNA from 1 species